rnacentral:rRNA from 1 species
GGAAUAUUGGACAAUGGGCGAAAGCCUGAUCCAGCCAUGCCGCGUGUGUGAAGAAGGUCUUCGGAUUGUAAAGCACUUUAAGUUGGGAGGAAGGGCAGUUGCCUAAUACGUAACUGUUUUGACGUUACCGACAGAAUAAGCACCGGCUAACUCUGUGCCAGCAGCCGCGGUAAUACAGAGGGUGCAAGCGUUAAUCGGAAUUACUGGGCGUAAAGCGCGCGUAGGUGGUUUGUUAAGUUGGAUGUGAAAUCCCCGGGCUCAACCUGGGAACUGCAUUCAAAACUGACUGACUAGAGUAUGGUAGAGGGUGGUGGAAUUUCCUGUGUAGCGGUGAAAUGCGUAGAUAUAGGAAGGAACACCAGUGGCGAAGGCGACCACCUGGACUAAUACUGACACUGAGGUGCGAAAGCGUGGGGAGCAAACAGGAUUAGAUACCCCAG